rnacentral:lncRNA from 1 species
GGCCAGCCUGGUUUACAGAGUGAGUUCCAGGAAAGCCAGGGCUAACAGAGAAACCCUGUCACCACAAAACAAAACAAAACAAAACAAAACAAAACAAAACAAAACAAAACAAAACAAACAAACAAACAAAAAACUAGAUUUACCCACUCUGAAGGCAAUGAGACUGCUAAGCACAAUUCUAAAAAAUUCAGGAAAAUGAAUAUCAGCAAAUAGAUAAAAUGGUAAGGAGCAUAAAUCAGUUAAAUAAUGUUCAACUAAAUCUUGGAAAUAUACAUACAUUUUAAUAAUAAAAAAGCUAAACUUUUGUAAAAUCUAAAAGUAGAAAAAAAAAAAAAAACUACUGAUCUUCCAGGAAUGGUUUAUACAUAAGAUUUAAAUUCAGUGUAGCAUCUAGGAAAACAUGGCAUUUAUUACUUCAAAACAUGAUAUUCUCAAGGUUCCAGAUUCUUGACCAAUUAAUAAUGUUAAGUAUCUAAAUGAUGGAAACUAGUGUUGUACAAAUGGAAGUGCUAAGAAGUAUAGCAACCUGCCACAUUAUGUGAUCUCAGACCUAAAGCCAGGCUAAGGGCAGCAUGCAGCACUAGACAAGAGUUGCCCAUUAGGAGACUUCAGGUCUGCUAUGAAAAGCAAAAUUACAGCCUAGGGUCUUGAACAUGUAGCCUUGAACCUCUCACAUACAUGGCUGAUGUGUGGUCCCUCAUUUUAGAUGAUUAUGUAGAUGUAAUGUGAUAGUCAAGACCAUUUGAAUUUGUUUGUUUUCAUCGGCAGUCUCCCUUUUUAUCUUUUGAUCAAUAUGAAGUACAAUUUCUGAGUUCUUCUGUUCUUAUUAUUCUGCUGCCCAAAUUGACCAUUUCUCUCAGUAGCUAAUUAUUUGGACAAAAGCUGCUGCUUGGUAUAGAUUUGUUUAGGAACUUGAUAAUAUCACAUUUAAAUGCUAUAUUAAAUAAGCUUUUCUGUAUGAUCUUGUUAUGUGAACUAUUUCUGACUUUUGAUUAUAAAAUUUGCUAAUUAUUAUCUUUUCAAAGCCUUGUAGUUGUGACAAAACUCUUAUCUACAUUGAGUAAAAUGAACUGUUCCACUCAUUUACCCUUUGAUUGAUAAAAUUAUAAUUAAUAUGAAUAUCAUUGUUACCUAAAAGUAGUAAAUUACUUGAAAAUUUUCAGGAAUUAUAAGUCAAUUUUACCACAUAAGAGGUCAGCAGAGGUCAAAGAAGAAUAUAAAUAAUAAGAUUAAGGAGAACUAGUAAGUAAUUUAAUGAAUAAUAUAUAUUAGCUUGUUAAAUUCACUAUAAUUCAAAGAGUGAAUGUUUUCACAACGUCAGUGUGUACAUACACAGGAAAGUACUUCUCCAAUAAUAUAAGAUAGGAAACAUUGGAUGCAAACAUAAAGAAGCAGAGAAACCCAAAUAAAGAAGAAUGCCAAACACACAUAUAACAUCCUUUGUAACUGUUUUUAAAAUAAUGGUUUCAUUUUAGACACAUUAAACGGAGGAAAAGGUUUGGAAAAGGAAACAGCAGAAUGAUUGCUGCAUGUAUAUCACCAAGGCAGACCAGUCCUAACAGAGAUCUUGCUGUAGUAAUUCACAUAAAGCAGUGAUAAAGGUUCAAAAGUAAAAACAAAAAAGCCUAGUAAACAUUUUGUUAAGUAAUUAAUUUACUUCCACAAUGGAAAGAAAAUUUAUUAAAAUCCAGGUUCAUGGCAGCCUGUAUCAGUACAAGAAGAAUUUUGAUGGUAAAUUUUCCUUCUUCAAUAGAAAAUCAAUUGGAAACUCAGCUGAAGUACCAUAAAUUAUGCAACAAUUCCUUCCAAAUAUAAUUGUUAAUGUUCCAUGAGAUUUGCAUGUGGAACAUUUUUGUAUGUUAAAGGCAGAAAACAGGGUGAUUCUUUUGUGUGAGAGCUUUUGUAAUUUAGGAGACAAAUCUGCUAGAACAUGUUGAAGCAGUUGAGCUGUUUAUGAAACAGAUAGUCAAACUAGUUAUAAAAAAUAUUUUGAGAAAUUAAAGAACUGAUAGUAGAGAAAUGAACAGCCACAGAUAGCCUUCCUGGACUGAUUUCAUAAGCAUUGUUCCUGUUUCAUUGCCUGGAAUAAGUAAAGCCUUUUAACAUGAAAGGGGAAAAUAAGAAAAACACUCUUGUUGAAAGAUAUAAAGUGUUUCUAUUGCCUUCUUGAAAUACCAAUAGUGAGUAAUGUGCUUCCAUGUGUAUAUGUGCACUCAUGCACAGAAAAUGACUGUGUGUGCAUUUCAUGUGAUCAUACACUAUAAACAUUCAACAGAAGUUGUUGAUGUCAAUGCCCAUGAAUUUUCAUUAACCAGAACU